UCCAUCAUGUCUCAUUUCCUUUAGGAGUCUACUCACCAACUAUUCCUUCAUUCAAUUUCAAACAGAUAUAAUCCUUUUCCAAUUUCAAUAUGACAAGAAAGGGAUACCGAUAACCUUAAAGGUAUAACUUCUUCCAUUUGCUGUUGAAGCUUUCUUUUCACUUAUUCUGGAAGAGGGAGUCGAGGAGCAUGACUAACUGGCAAUGAGGAGAGUAAUGAAACUUUUCAACUCAUGCGCAACACCCUCGCAGGUAACGGCGAAAACAACAGAACAUAAAAAGGAAGAAAGAAAUAAGAUUGGAUCCACAGAGCAGUCCAAGUCAUAAUAACAUCCUUUCAAAUAAAGGUUGCCCUUCUCACACCCUCAUCUCCAUUGCUGUAGGCGGUCACAGCAAUUCUCCCUGCAGGACUAUUGGGGCCACACUUGCUAUUUUAUCAAGGGUUAGGACCGCAUCUCAGGGAUCUUCAUGCUGUACAGCAGGGGCUGCCGAGCAUCCAGACCAUCGCUCUGAAUCUGGGUCAAGUUUGGAGGAAGGUAGCAAAGGAAGC